UACGAAGGGUGCAAGCGUUACUCGGAAUUACUGGGCGUAAAGGGCGCGCAGGCGGCAGAUCAAGUCAGACGUGAAAGCCCCGGGCUUAACCUGGGAACUGCGUUUGGGACUGGUUUGCUAGAGAUCGGGAGAGGAGAGUGGAAUUCCCAGUGUAGAGGUGAAAUUCGUAGAUAUUGGGAAGAACACCGGUGGCGAAGGCGGCUCUCUGGACCGAUACUGACGCUGAGGCGCGAAAGCGUGGGGAGCAAACAGG
rnacentral:rRNA from 1 species